rnacentral:rRNA from 1 species
UACGUAGGUGGCAAGCGUUGUCCGGAUUUACUGGGCGUAAAGAGCGCGCAGGCGGUCGUUCAAGUCGCGUGUGAAAGCCCCCGGCUCAACUGGGGAGGGUCACGCGAUACUGAUCGACUCGAAGGCAGGAGAGGGUAGUGGAAUUCCCGGUGUAGUGGUGAAAUGCGCAGAUAUCAGGAGGAACACCGAUGGCGAAGGCAGGUCACUGGGCCGCAACUGACGCUGAGGAGCGAAAGCAUGGGGAGCGAACAGG